CUCUGGGACCAGAUUAGGUUAGAGGAUGCUGAGCACGGCUGAAGUCAGCCAGGGCGAUAGAAAUGGCAUAAGCUGAGUCUCAUCUACCUGCCUGUUGGCAGAACCAGACUUCUACUUAGACGAUGAAGUAGGAAGAGACAGCAGUUUCUUUGGCACAAGUUCCACCCUUCACGAUGCUGACAAAUUAUCCUUCUUAAAAUAACAUCGCAUUGCAUAACUUC